GAGUAACACGUGGAUAACCUACCUAUAAGACUGGGAUAACUUCGGGAAACCGGAGCUAAUACCGGAUAAUAUUUUGAACCGCAUGGUUCAAAAGUGAAAGACGGUCUUGCUGUCACUUAUAGAUGGAUCCGCGCUGCAUUAGCUAGUUGGUAAGGUAACGGCUUACCAAGGCAACGAUGCAUAGCCGACCUGAGAGGGUGAUCGGCCACACUGGAACUGAGACACGGUCCAGACUCCUACGGGAGGCAGCAGUAGGGAAUCUUCCGCAAUGGGCGAAAGCCUGACGGAGCAACGCCGCGUGAGUGAUGAAGGUCUUCGGAUCGUAAAACUCUGUUAUUAGGGAAGAACAUAUGUGUAAGUAACUGUGCACAUCUUGACGGUACCUAAUCAGAAAGCCACGGCUAACUACGUGCCAGCAGCCGCGGUAAUACGUAGGUGGCAAGCGUUAUCCGGAAUUAUUGGGCGUAAAGCGCGCGUAGGCGGUUUUUUAAGUCUGAUGUGAAAGCCCACGGCUCAACCGUGGAGGGUCAUUGGAAACUGGAAAACUUGAGUGCAGAAGAGGAAAGUGGAAUUCCAUGUGUAGCGGUGAAAUGCGCAGAGAUAUGGAGGAACACCAGUGGCGAAGGCGACUUUCUGGUCUGUAACUGACGCUGAUGUGCGAAAGCGUGGGGAUCAAACAGGAUUAGAUACCCUGGUAGUCCACGCCGUAAACGAUGAGUGCUAAGUGUUAGGGGGUUUCCGCCCCUUAGUGCUGCAGCUAACGCAUUAAGCACUCCGCCUGGGGAGUACGACCGCAAGGUUGAAACUCAAAGGAAUUGACGGGGACCCGCACAAGCGGUGGAGCAUGUGGUUUAAUUCGAAGCAACGCGAAGAACCUUACCAAAUCUUGACAUCCUUUGACAACUCUAGAGAUAGAGCUUUCCCCUUCGGGGGACAAAGUGACAGGUGGUGCAUGGUUGUCGUCAGCUCGUGUCGUGAGAUGUUGGGUUAAGUCCCGCAACGAGCGCAACCCUUAAGCUUAGUUGCCAUCAUUAAGUUGGGCACUCUAAGUUGACUGCCGGUGACAAACCGGAGGAAGGUGGGGAUGACGUCAAAUCAUCAUGCCCCUUAUGAUUUGGGCUACACACGUGCUACAAUGGACAAUACAAAGGGCAGCGAAACCGCGAGGUCAAGCAAAUCCCAUAAAGUUGUUCUCAGUUCGGAUUGUAGUCUGCAACUCGACUACAUGAAGCUGGAAUCGCUAGUAAUCGUAGAUCAGCAUGCUACGGUGAAUACGUUCCCGGGUCUUGUACACACCGCCCGUCACACCACGAGAGUUUGUAACACCCGAAGCCGGUGGAGUAACCUUUUAGGAGCUAGCCGUCGAAGGUGGGACAAAUGAUUGGGGUGAAGUCGUAACAAGGUAGCCGUAUCGGAAGGUGCGGCUG
rnacentral:rRNA from 1 species